GCCUUCGUGGUGCAAUUGGAAAACACGUCCAACUUGCAAGCGGAAGGUCCUGAGCCUGAGUCCCAGUGAGGGCA
rnacentral:tRNA from 1 species